AAGUCGUAACAAGGUAUCCAUGAGUGAACCUGUGGAUGGAUCAUUACCAAAGUGGGUUAAAUCCACCUGUAACGUGAGCUGUUUUGGUGUGAAUGUUUGCCGCCUGCAUGUAAUGUAACUUAAUUCUUGUUUAUAACAUGAACCAACGGAUCUGGAGGCUCUU
rnacentral:misc_RNA from 1 species